CGCCAAUGGAAGUUCCCCGCGUCCCAAUGCAGGCCGCGGGUGCUGUGUGGUGGUUCCUCUCCCAGAGUUCUCGAGGCUGGGCUUCAGGGAAGGAACUGCAACCAGCACUGCGAAAGAGAACUUGCAAAGUUAAUUUCUUUGUCUUGUAGAGAUAAGCAGUUUCUCCAGACUUCGUCUUGCUGCUCAUUAUAACCAACUGCCCCUCUGGCUCGCCUCAGCCCAAGAAGUGACAGAGUGUGCAGAUGGCAGCCCCAGGAGGAUGGAGCCCAGUUUCCUUUCCACGAGAGAAGGAUGUGGUGGUGUACUCCUGUAGUCCCAGCACUUGGGGGGCUGAGGCAGAUUGCCAUAAAUUCAGGCCAGCCUGAACUACAUAAUGAGUUCAAGGCCAGCCUGAGCUACAUAGCUCGACCCUGUCCCAAAAAAACAAACAAACUUCAAAUGUUUUAGGAUGCUGACUACAGAAUGGACAGGACUAAACUUCUCAGUGACUCCAGUUCAAUGAUGGCAAACCCUGUUGACCUUUCAGUGAUAGAGUCUGGCGAGCAGGUUCACUGUUGGUCUAGAUAAACAGCCACUUGUUCCAAUCUUUGAUAUUGCUCAAAUGUGGCAACCAGGGCUUAUGACACUAACCCCAAUCCCCUGUUGAAGCCCCUCCAACAUGGGCCAUGUUCUGACUCACCAUCACCUGAGAAGGCUGCCUGGCACCCAGGGACAAGGCACAGGCGGUUAAUUUGCAAAGGCUUCAGAAAAGAGGAAGAGGAGAGAGCUGUGAGCACCAAAGAGUCACCUGUGUGUCAGCCCCCCACGCCCCCAAAUCAGUAGAGCUGCAGAGGUUGUGAAAGGGGAUCUCAUGCACGAUUGUCUACAAGCAGAAAGGCCCUUCUUCAUGGGCGAGUGAAAGGUUGCCUCUCUCGGCUUUUGGCUUUUGGUUUGUAUUUGACUUCAAUGUUUGGUGAUGCUUUUUGAUGCUCGAGCAUCCAGCUUUCCUUUGCUUGUGCUUCAGCUACCUUUGAUGGACUCUAUGUGCCAGUCCAAGGUGGGACAGCCAGCCUGAUGAUGUGGCACCUCAGGGCGCUCAAGACUGAGGGCAGAAAUAAGCAAGGGGGAAAUUGAAGCUACCACUGCAAAAUGGAGCCUUAAAGUUAGCUUUUGUUUCUUGUAG
rnacentral:lncRNA from 1 species